ensembl:misc_RNA
CAAAUGUGUUGGUCUUUUAGCUCUUUUGUAAUUAAAUCUGGAUGUACCUCAAAAGAAUCUUGAGACUGUGGUGAUACUAUGCUUUCCUC